GGCUUAAUGUUUUUGUAUUGCAUAAAUAUGACAAGUAACUAUCCACUUAGCAGUAAGUUCGUCAUUAUCUUUAUAUUCGUCAUCAAAUGGAUUUAAUAUUAUGGUUGUAUUCAUGGAUCUUUCUGGACAGUGGGUGAUGUGUGUCGGCCGUUAACGUUAGCAUAUCUCCAUGGACAGCUAAGUGUCUAUGAUGUUAAAUUAUUAGGCCUAUGUUGAGUAUAACUAUUUUAUUCGUAAGUAUAAAAUGGAAGUUAACACAUCUCCUCCCAGUCGUUGUUUGGAAUUUUAGCCUUAGUCUCCCGGCCAGUUUCAUAAAUUUUCAUCAGCCAGCGAACAUUUUGUCCGAUGGGCAUGUGUAAUUUCUAGAAGUGCUAGUUCUUCAGAAAAAGGAUACGUGCCUAAGUACACUAAACCAACGUUAGUUCUGCUGCUGUGUUGUUCCGGUUUUUAUUCCAAACUUCCAUUUUCACUCCUAAUGUUCACCCUGACGUGAACAGGAAAUGUGCAUGAUAUCAUUUGACUGUUGUAGGCCCCUAGAGUACUUCUAGGUGUUUUCAUGACCGAUGUCAGUUAACUUUUUGGGAGCCAACGCAUGUGAGGCGAAACGUGUUUUUUACCUGACUUGGGAGUCAAAUGUUUUGAAUGUCUACUAUACAUUGAUUAAGGCAUUUUCACGCACGAGCAGGAAACAAUGAUACAUUACUAAUACUUAAUUCAAGUCAGUGGCAGGAAAUGAUAAACCAUAACCAGCAACGCAUUAAUUACAGCAAUGCAUUACUUUUUCUGCAACUCAGAGAAUACCUUAAGUUUGGCAGUUUUUUAGCAACUCAGUCAACAUUGCAUGUAAGCUUAACACAAUAAUGCAUAUUUUUUCUUUUUUGUGUCACUCCUCACCACAUAUGGCAGAUUUAGUGUGAAGAGCCACCUGUACAAGAUUCCUGGGACAGCAGAACAUGCACCUCACGCACUACCCUGGCACCCUGGCUGAACAACCCGCAGCACAUCAUCUCCAGCUGAGAGGGGGACUCAUACAUUCAUUUGAAAUCAGCUCUACUGAGCGUAACACAACUCUUGCAAUCAAAUUUGGCAGAGGCUCUGAAGGCCACAUAGCCAGCAAGGUACACUGACACAUUGCCCUCAAUGACGUCCAGCCCCUUCAUGAACUCUGUGUUGUCCAGUCCAGGGAAUGUGGGUUCCUCAUCAGUAGACUGUACGUGAGGCAUGGUCAGUGCGGUGCAUGGAUGGGGAGUUGCCAUCUGCGAUGACUCAGUGCAGCUCUACAAAAUCAUUGCAAAUGAUUACAGACUUACAGUAUACUAAUCAUGUGUGACACUUUUGUUUUUGAAAGGGUGUUUCGUGUACCUCGUGAGGCAUGGUCAGUGCGGUGCAUGGAUGGGGAGUUGCCAUCUGCGAUGACUCAGUGCAGCUCUACAAAAUCAUUGCAAAAGAUUACAGACUUACAGUAUACUAAUCAUGUGUGACACUUUUGUUUUUGAAAGGGUGUUUCGUCUACCUCAAACAAAUGGGACAAUUGCAGCAAUAGGUGUAUUUCCUCCGGUUCGCAAUUUGUAUUUCUCCCAAAUGUCAUUAGAUAGUCUAGCACGGCCUGCCUGUAGUCUAAUCGGAAUUGCUGAGGGUCUGGAUUGUCCCUGUGCCCGCCCUUCGCUCUGAUCACCCCAAAGAAGUGUUCCAGGCAGUCCUGGUUGAGGUGCCUCGUAAAUAGAAACUGAAAUCCUUUCUCUGUGAAUGCAAAUGACAAACAGUACAUUGGCCAACAGCAGAAAACAUGCAGUGGUGGACAAAGCUCAUUAGCAUUAGCAAAGCUCAAUUUGAAUAAUUAUGCCUUAUUGCUGCUACCUUUCAAUUCAGCCCAGAUUUCCUUGAUUGCUCUUAGGUUAUGCCUCCAACCAUUUAGGCAAUUCAAGCUGUUGCCACUGGCACAUCUGACAGAUGCCAGCCAGUUAAUACUCUCAUUGAUAAAAUCAAUAUGUGUCUCUCUGAAGGCAUCCUUUUGUGGUGUGCUGCUGGACAAUGUGCUACUGUUAAAGCAGUCAAACAUCUGGUUAAAGUGGGCUACAAAAUCUGCCGUCGUUUUUGCCCCCUCUCUUAGCUUCCCCAUGUCUGCCAUGGUGAGCAGUGCAGCCGCAACAGAAUGACUAAGAACCUGUAAUAAAAAAAUAAAAAAAAUCCCAUUUUCAGGACCAUAGAUAAAGAUUGUAAAUUGAAUGUUAUACGCCUGCAUGACAGUUUUCACUUGUGGCUUACCUGAGUGGCGAGAGGCACACUCAUUGUUGAAAAGGCAGUGAGGGACAGAUGCCGUUGGGUUAACUUGGGUGCCAUUCGGUGUUGUCUUUGUGAAUCAAUUUUAAACAUUUCAGUGAUGUCUCCCCAUUCUGCCAAUUUGUCCCCUAUGUAAAAUCCAUAUUUUCGCAAAUUGUUUCUGAUGUUUUUCAUUAAAUGGGGGGGGUCGAAUAAAAAAUGAAUCUUCUGGCUUUUGACAAAGAAGUACGGUUUUUCUUCUGUUAUACCCAGGUUUCUACAGGCUGCCAGGUUGUUGCUGCCUUGGUCCAUUACCAGCACCAUGGGAGUGAAGCCAGUGUCAAGCACCUUUUCCACCGCCUCCAUGAUUUUGGUUUUUAAGACCCCAUGCUUCAUGGUCCCAGAUGACAAGAAGUACCCUAUGGGUUGUUUCCAUUUCCCAGUUAGACUACGGAUCAUGAAAACCCCUGCAUGGUUGGCUGGUCUUCCCCCUUCGUCAUACCCUUCUACUUCAUCUUUCGAGAUGUUAUAAUUUAGGCUACAUUUCAAUGUAAUUUCAUCAAAUGUGAUGGCAACGUGCCUAUCUCGCUCUUCCAUAUGCUGCACUUGAUGUUUAAGUGCAUACAGCACAGGUUCAUGCCAUCCCGGCCCGAUGUCUACUCUCUGCAAGAUAUUUGAAAGGGUCCUGGCUGUAGGGAGCUUGAAAAUUCUCCUCAUGGUUCGGUAGGCUUUUGGCCCUGUACCCUUAACCUGUAACGCCCAACUUUUCAUGAAGUUGCUCCACCGAAUGGCCCUUGGUUUUUUUUUGGCAUUAUCAAUUUGCUCGUUGACAAAUUGUGCGGCUUGUUUUGGCAAUACUUUGGAAAUUUCCCUCUUUAAUGUUUGUUUGCUGAUAGAUGGUGUCUUUUUCUUUAGCCUUGACAGCUUUGAUUUGUAGCAGCCAAUUUUUCUUUUCAGUUUUUCCACUGUGUUGUCAUUGCUGACACUGGCCAGUACAUCAGUGCCUAAAAAGAAAUGUGACAACUGUAACAACAGACUUAUGCACAGACUACUACCUAUGCAGUGUUCAACACUCAGAAUGUAUCUGUUACCACCAUUUGCCAUUAAAUCACUUACUAUCCAGGA